rnacentral:rRNA from 1 species
UACGAAGGGGGCUAGCGUUGCUCGGAAUCACUGGGCGUAAGCGCACGUAGGCGGCUUUUAAGUCAGGGGUGAAAUCCUGGAGCUCAACUCCAGAACUGCCUUUGAUACUGAGAGCUUGAGUCCGGGAGAGGUGAGUGGAACUGCGAGUGUAGAGGUGAAAUUCGUAGAUAUUCGCAAGAACACCAGUGGCGAAGGCGGCUCACUGGCCCGGUACUGACGCUGAGGUGCGAAAGCGUGGGGAGCAAACAGG